GAUGAACGCUGGCGGCGUGCCUAAUACAUGCAAGUCGAGCGAACGGACGAGAAGCUUGCUUCUCUGAUGUUAGCGGCGGACGGGUGAGUAACACGUGGAUAACCUACCUAUAAGACUGGGAUAACUUCGGGAAACCGGAGCUAAUACCGUAUGAUAUUUUGAACCGCAUGGUUCAAUAGUGAAAGACGGUCUUGCUGUCACUUCUAGAUGGAUCCGGGCUGCAUUAGCUAGUUGGUAAGGUAACGGCUUACCAAGGCAACGAUGCAUAGCCGACCUGAGAGAGUGAUCGGCGACACGGGAGCGGGGACACGGUCCAGGCUCCUACGGGAGGCAGCAGUAGGGAAUCGUCCGCAAUGGGCGAAAGCCUGACGGAGCAACGCCGCGUGAGUGAUGAAGGUCUUCGGAUCGUAAAACUCUGUUAUUAGGGAAGAACAGAUGUGUAAGGAACUGUGCACAUCGUGACGGUACCUAAUCAGAAAGCCACGGCUAACUACGUG
rnacentral:rRNA from 1 species